GAUGAACGCUAGCUACAGGCUUAACACAUGCAAGUCGAGGGGUAGCAGGGUAGCAAUACCGCUGACGACCGGCGCACGGGUGAGUAACACGUAUCCAACCUUCCCAUAACUCAGGGAUAGCCUUUCGAAAGAAAGAUUAAUACCUGAUAGUACUUAAGAAAGGCAUCUUUUUUAAGUUAAAGAUUUAUUGGUUAUGGAUGGGGAUGCGUUCCAUUAGAUAGUUGGUGAGGUAACGGCUCACCAAGUCUUCGAUGGAUAGGGGUUCUGAGAGGAAGGUCCCCCACAUUGGUACUGAGACACGGACCAAACUCCUACGGGAAGCAGCAGUGAGGAAUAUUGGUCAAUGGGCGAGAGCCUGAACCAGCCAAGUAGCGUGAAGGAUGAAGGUCCUAUGGAUUGUAAACUUCUUUUAUAGUAGAAUAAAGUGAGCCACGUGUGGUUUUUUGUAUGUAUACUAUGAAUAAGGAUCGGCUAACUCCGUGCCAGCAGCCGCGGUAA
rnacentral:rRNA from 1 species